CACAAAACUUUCAACAACGGAUCUCUUGGUUCUCGCAUCGAUGAAGAGCGCAGCGAAAUGCGAUACCUAGUGUGAAUUGCAGCCAUCGUGAAUCAUCGAGUUCUUGAACGCACAUUGCGCCCGUCGGCAUUCCGGCGGGCAUGCCUGUCUGAGCGUCGUUUCCUUCUUGCAAGACGAGAGUUGCGCAGAGCUGGCCCGGCCACGGCCCCGCCGAAAAGAAACGAGGCCACGAGCGAACUAGAACAGGACGCUUGGGGUCUCCGAGCACAUACGAGCUCGACCUCAGAUCAGGUAGGAAUACCCGCUGAACUUAAGCAUAUCAAUAAGCGGAGGAAAGGAUCAUUACUGUGAUUAUUUGUUCCACACUGCG
rnacentral:rRNA from 1 species